rnacentral:tRNA from 1 species
GCACACAUAGCUCAGUUGGUAGAGCAUUCGAUUCACAUUCGAAAGGUCUCUGGUUCAAGUCCAGAUGUGUGCA